AGAGUAAAUCGGCUUAUCGCUAUUUUAUAGAGGAAAGUCCGGACACCAAAGAGCAACAUAACGGGUAACGCCCGUCCAUCGUGAGAUGAGGACAAGUGCAACAGAAAGCAAGUACAGUUCGGCUGUAGUGAAAUCAGGUAAACUCUAUGUGGUGCAACGCUAUGUAAACCAGCUUUUUAGGAUUGCUCGUCCGAUGUUGGAGGGUAGGCGGUUCGAAUUUGUAAGUAAUUACAAAUCAAGAUAAAUGAUAAGCAUCUUGUUCAUCAAGAAACAGAAUCCGGCUUAUGAUUUGCUCUCUUU
rfam:Capnocytophaga cynodegmi strain Ccyn2B genome assembly, contig: CCYN2B_Contig_9